UGGACGGGGAUAACCUCGGGAAACUGAGAAUAAUACCCGAUAGAUCAUUAUACCUGGAAUGGUUUAUGGUUCAAAUGAUUUUUCGCCGUAGGAUGGGACUGCGGUCUAUCAGCUUGUUGGUGAGGUAAUGGCCCACCAAGGCUAUUACAGAUACGGGCUCUGAGAGGAGAAGCCCGGAGAUGGGUACUGAGACACGGACCCAGGCCCUAUGGGGCGCAGCAGGCGAGAAAACUUUGCAAUGUGCGAAAGCACGACAAGGUUAAUCCGAGUGUUUUCUGCUAAAGAAAUCUUUUGUUAGUUCUAAAACCACUAUCGAGUAAGGGGUGGGCAAGUUCUGGUGUCAGCCGCCGCGGUAAAACCAGCACCUCAAGUGGUCAGGAUGAUUAUUGGGCCUAAAGCAUCCGUAGCCGGCUAUGUUAGUUUUCGGUUAAAUCCAUGUGCUCAACACAUGGGCUGUCGAGAAUACUGUAUAGCUAGGGAGUGGGAGAGGUAGACGGUACUCGGUAGGAAGGGGUAAAAUCCUUUGAUCUAUUGAUGACCACCAGUGGCGAAGGCGGUCUACCAGAACACGUCCGACGGUGAGGGAUGAAAGCUGGGGGAGCAAACCGGAUUAGAUA
rnacentral:rRNA from 1 species